CAGUAGCCGCGGUAAAACGUAGGUGGCAAGCGUUGUCCGGAAUUAUUGGGCGUAAAGGGCUCGCAGGCGGUUUCUUAAGUCUGAUGUGAAAGCCCCCGGCUCAACCGGGGAGGGUCAUUGGAAACUGGGAAACUUGAGUGCAGAAGAGGAGAGUGGAAUUCCACGUGUAGCGGUGAAAUGCGUAGAGAUGUGGAGGAACACCAGUGGCGAAGGCGACUCUCUGGUCUGUAACUGACGCUGAGGAGCGAAAGCGUGGGGAGCGAACAGGAUUAGAUACCCGGGUAGUCCCUGUCUCUUAUAA
rnacentral:rRNA from 1 species